ACUGCUCUCAGAGUUGUUGCAGAUGUGGCUGCCUUCUCUCAUGUGCAUCAGUAAGUGGCAGAGAGGAGAGAGGGGGUGCUUACAUUCAGUGUUCCUCAUAGGAGUAUCUGAUGAGGGUUCAUUCCCUGGGGGA
ensembl:snoRNA